rnacentral:misc_RNA from 1 species
AUAUCAAUAAGCGGAGGACGUGCGUCGGGAGCCAACUUGGGAUAACGUCCAUCAAGUUUGGCUACCUGUCUCGAUGGAACCAGCGAGCGAGCAAGCGAGCGAGCGUGUGUCUCACGACCCGUGCGCUAUGCUAUGUUAGCUUUGCAAGCAAGCCAAAGGAACGCGAUCGUGGCCCCGAGACCCGGGAUCAUCGAGCCGCAACACCCUGACGUACCGAUCUCAAAUCAAGUAAGAUUACCCGCUGAACUUAA